UGAUAAGGGGAGUGCGUGCGCCAUUGGCCCAGGACGAGAGCGGAGGCGCCUCCUCGCUUGGCCGUGCGCAAGAAUUGGUCGUCAACUAGCAGAUUAACCGAGGGCGAAAAUGUGACACGAAGUUGUCUUCAUAGUGACGACAGCUGGACUUCACAGAGGGCAACGGGACAUAAAAGAGCAUCCUCUCAGCCUCCCUCUCUGGUUCUGUGGAGACAGAAAGAACUGGAGAUUCUGUAUGGGUGGGAAAUAGAGCGCGUGUAAUCUGGAGCACGCAUCUUCCCCCUGCUCAGGCUGCAGCAUUAAAUCGAUAUUCCGCAAAGCUUUCUCUUGUUUUCACAUUCACUUGACUGCUACCGUGAUGCGCCGCGAGGGUCGAGCAGCCGCUCCCUGAUUUUUGUGGCACUUGUGCCCCCCUUCGCCCGCCACCUCCCCCCCUUUUUCUUCCUCUUCCACCUUCACUUCACUUCACUCCACAGCAGACACCCUCAUUUGGAUGGCUCCAAGGCGAUGCGCCCAUUCCAUUUGUCUCUUGUGUUAACAGGAGGCGGCAGAAAUAAGGCAGUGCGCUAUCUCUAUACAGAGCAUUAUCUCCGCCUUGCUCCUCCAGCACCAUGAAACAAUGAUUAUUAACUGCUUGAGGAGCAUGCUUAGGGAUUUCAAGGCUUGUUGCCACACUUAGGGAACAUGAAGUGUAUUGCACAACGCACCCCAUGCUCAAGAUUUUAGAUUUUUUUUGCCUGAAAAUAAUACUUCCUCUUUUCUUGCCAUUUGCGAGUACUUUCAGAAGCUACUGGCUUGCCCGAAACCCCCGGUGGGAAGAGUAGUAAGUAUGGCUAACGGCAUUAUGACCGGACGUGUGACAGGAGCAUUUUCACAAGAAACCAGCCUAGCACUUCCUUUUCAAGAUUUAAAAGCCUGUUGUGCAGCGUCAUCCUGCUGUAAGAUAGUGGUUAUGCAUUCAUACACUCAAGUGUUCACACACACACACACACUCUCCAUCGUUAUAAAAGCAAAGCCCUGCCUCUGCAAAAUGGGUCAUACACUGCAGUCACUUUAUCUCAGCAAAUGUAUUGUGCCUGCGUGAGUGUGUGAGUGGUAGGCAUGCGCAUGUGUGAUCACACAUCAAAGGCAAGACUCCCAAUAUUAAAGCACGGGUGUCUUUGCUGAAACAGGACUUGAGCGUGUCAAACCGUUGAAUGUUUUCGGCACUUUUGAGCUCGUGCGAUAUAGUUAGCCCGCAGAGCCAAAAUGAAUUUUUCCUUUAAUACCUUCAAACGGCCAAAAGGAGGGUGCUCGCACACUAAAAUAACGUACAGAGGCAUCAUUUUUAUUCUACCUUAGUCCACUCUGUGCCAUACGUGAAUACAGUUUCAGCCCAAUGUAAGAUUCCUUCUGAAUACAGGGGGAAAAAAUAAAAGCCUUGGUUCAAGAUACACUGUCAGGCUAAUACAGAGACACACAUUUGCAGAUAUAUACCCACUGUGGAAUGAAUUUUCGCUGUGGGGUUCAAAGCUGUGCCAGUCAAAGAGGGAAGACAGCUCCGUGCCGCCGUCUUAUAGACCCAUCACUGUGCGAGCUAAUCUGCGGCAUGUUCUGGCCCUAUAUUUAGACCAAUGUUUUGUGAACACUUAGCAUAAUUCAGUGAGACGAAAGGAGCUUUUCAAAGCUGUUAACCUCAUCUCUUUAAAACUCAUUUGGAGUUUUUCAGCUGCGCAUUCCAACACACCUGUUCUCCUCUUUGUAGACCUGUAAAUGCUCUCCGGUUUAGUGAGGAAAUAGUUUAGCAUAAUUGGCGGUGAUGGUGCAGCGUGACAAUGAGAGCACGCCACAAAUGUGAGGAGGUGAUUGAUUCAUUCAGCUGCUCGUGAGAGAAUGGGUGUUGUGUGAAAUCGGCUCCAGAAACAGUGCGAAAAUGUGCCGUCGUUCCCCUCGUAGAGCAUCGCCCGAUUUAUCUCUGCAGUCAUCGUCUUUACUGCACUCGUCACAUAAUUUGACAUCUCAAUAAUCACGUCCUUAUAAAUUUAGAGGAAGUAAUAUUUCAGAGAUAACACAGCACCUUGGUUUCAUUUGGUCCCAUUUAUUAUAAAGAAAGUAGCUGAUUUCAGUCUGCAUGAAAGUGUGUGCGUGUGUGUGCGUACCAAAUGCUCUAAACGGGUCCAGGUGGGCCAGUGGGAGAUGGUCAUACUCAAAGCCUUUACCUCCAUCUGCUGUGUGGCCUGCACAAGCUCGCACAUUUCCACACAAACACACAGAUGAGAUAGACUGUCUGGUUCAAAAGCCCAUCCCUUAAGCAUUAAACGCUAUACGCUUUGGCCACAGAAGCGUGCCACACUGGGGUCCUGCAUGGCAUCUGCCUCCCAGCUCCCAGAGCCAAGGCGUGGGGCCGAGGGAGGGGCCUGGGGCAGAGAUAAGCUCUUCCUCCCCUGGUCACUGCUACGCCAUGGGAACCGGACAGGCCUGGAGCCUCAGCUGAGCACCGCUGAUAAUAUCCACAUGAGUGUACAUGCACGUUUGUGUGUGUGUGUGUGUGUGUGUGUGUGUGUGUGUUUGUGGUUACAUGAAUGGUUGCUGAUGAGGCAGGGUUGAGGGGUUGCAUGUGUGUGUGUGUUUGUGGGAAGGUUAGGUGCAUGCAUGGAUGCACACACUUACAUAUUUUUUUAAAAAUAGUCAAAUAUCACCACUAAGACAAAAAUGCCCAUCCAUGAAAUAUUAAAAGUUUUGCAGCUUAAUGCCAGUUGUUCACAGAAGUGUGUAAAGAUAUGCAUCCUCCAGAGGAAUGCAUUUGUUUUCAACAAUCUGUACAAAAAAAAUCAAUUGCCGUUCCGCAAAAAUGCAUGGAAAUAAGAAUUUUAAUGUCAAGCUGACUCAUGUUCCAAAGCAAACACAUGUUUCUUAAAUGUCUGAAAAUGAGUGACAAUAUGCUUGCAAGCCACUCUUCCUCACUUAAGUGUUGAUAUUCUCACAAAAACCUGCACAAGAAACAAAUGAAAUUAUCCACUUUGCAGAUUGCUCUACUUCAUUUUGGGAUAUGAAAUUUUAAGACAAACUAAAUAAGAAUCCGCUGGUAGGCAGAGAAAGACAAAGCUCGUAAUAAGUACAGUACAUUUCAUUAGAGCGAGUGCUGUAAUGACAAUGACAUGAAGCAAUGCCGCUCUUACAAUAGUGCUCAUUGUAUUUUUUUUUCCAUUCUGUGCCCACAUUUACAAUGUAAGAUUAAUUGCUUUGCUGCUAACUGCAAAUCAGUCUGCCCUUGUUCUAAUUCGUUGUUUAUUUAACAUGAGUGUAAUCUAGUCUUUUGUAAAAUGACAGAAAUGGUUCCUCUUUGUUCAGCUGCACUGACCUUAUCAUUUUAACUUGUCAUAUCGGAAUGCUCAUUUACUCAUCGCGUUAAGAGUCGCCUCACGUAACGAGGCAGUCGGGCAAAUUCAAUUAAUUCGGGGCUGCUUUUAAUCGUGUUGAUGUUUCAAAUAACAGCGCGUGACAAAAAGGUCUGGAUCAUGAUAGAAACACUAAUUGUUAAAACAAAAUAAAGGGGAUGAUAGGAUAGUGUAAAAUGUAUCAAAAGUUAAACCUGCUUGAAUUUAUUAAUGUAAUAUUAUGCAUUAAGAUGAGGCCCAUGGAAUAGUCUCGUGCAGUAUGUAUAUUUGUUUAAACCACCUAAACGAUGUGUUAAAUGCACUGUGCCUAUCAUUUUAAUAUAAUAAUUACCUCAAUGAUUUUCAGAAGGAAUGAUUAGCUAGUGCAAAUCAAAACUGCUGCUUGAGGGCGUUUUUUUUAAUGGACAUUUUUGAUAUUAUUUUAUAAAACUAUUUGAGUACAUAGGGCCUCUUUACAAAGCCAAAUAGAAAAUAACAUGCAGAGAGAUGUCUCCUUGAUAUUUAUUAAACAUUGCUGUUCUUUUUUUUUUAAUCAUUUCAUCAUUAGUGAAAUAUGGCUGAUGAACACUGAACUGCCGGCACGCUGAUUGCUUUUAGCAAUUCUUUGAUGUUCAGCUGGACGGCAAGUGCAAGUCAUUUAAUUACAGCGUCUCCAACCAAAGGCAUUUCGUGUCAUCCCAUAGAUUUCUGUUGUUCGCCAUUGCUGCUUUCCUUCCAGCUGCCCCGAUGAGUGUGACAUAUUUAUCUAACCACUUAUUACUGUUCAUGAUUGUUGACGUGUCUGAUCUGUGAGAGAGUAAUCUGUACUGUUAAGAAUCAGAGUCUGAAGUAGUUAUCAACUAUAAGAUGUAAGAUGAACGCAGAUGUUUCUAAUAUUUAAUAAAGUUCUGUUUUGCAGCCUGGUUGGAAGACUCGCCAUAGUAAAUGAAGAACAGCGAACAUGGUGAAACAUAAAGUGCCCUGUCAUGUGUGUAACCCUCUGAGGACUAGCAUGUGUUUUGACAGGGGGAGGAGGAGAGAGAGAGCAAGAGAGAGACAUAGACAGAGAGAACUAUCCAGAGAUCCAGGUCAGCUGUGAGGCCUCAGCUGGAGUGCAGGGCUACACCUGUCAGCGCCCAGGGCCCCUCUCUCUUUCUCGCUGUCUUCUUUCUGUCUCUCUCUUUCUGUCCAGCUGGACUCUCAACCCCCCACCCAGUCUCCACCUCCCAGAUCCAGGCCACUUCAGCCCAGCCAUGCGUGGACAUCUCUGGGAAUUCAUUCCGGAUGCUUCCUGUUCAUUGCAUCCACUCCUCCCUCGCUCUCCUUUCUCAUUUUGUCCUUUUACUCCUCCUUUUGCUAUCUACCUCAUAACUCAUCUCUAUUUUUUCACGCACUUGAUUUUUACUUAAACAGCACAACCAACUAAAUCCCAACCAUGCAGAACAUGGUUCACUAAAACAGUAGCGGUCUAAAACAUUCCAACUACUAUUGCCUGACCUGAAUUUGUAGAAAAAGUCAUAGUUUUUGGUUUAUCCUGUGUGUUUGGCAGAAGUGAGCACUUUUUUUUCAAAGAUGGUGGCACAAAUAUCCAAAGUUUUCAUUGUAAAGUUUUAGAGGGAACCACUAAGGAGCAUAACACAUUCGCACCACUCCUUUCUCCCGCUGUGCAUCCAAAGCCUCUUUUCUACACAGUCAGCAGCAGCAGCUGGAAGCAUUAAAAAUGUUGGUACAAGCAUCCUUUCUAUUCUGAUGUGACUGUAGCCUAUUUUCCCAAAGUAUGCAUGUACUGUAAAAUUAAGUCCAUACCAUUUCUGCACUCUUUUCUACAUUUUACUUUACCGUCAGCUGAGAAAGUGUAUAUUAUGUAUAUUUCAUUAUUAUACCAUAUCGUCUGUUUAAACUAAAAUAAAAUAAA